GUUAGGCGAACAACUGGGCCUGGUACUAGUUGUCUGCGCAUGCGUCAGUCGUUCGUCAGAUUCUGACGAAUGGAUAUUCUCGUUCACUUUCGUGACAUUUAUAUUCGUGUACCAUCGUGUACUAGAAGUCAGUUCCCGUUUUAUCAUUAUUGGAAUCGAUUGGAAUGGCUCUUAGUUGAAGCUUCUCUCUUCUCUGAAGCUUAUUCUGAAGACUGAACAACAAGGGAAGAGGUAUAAAGCUUUGUCAAGCUUGUUAAGGAUCUAGGAGCAAUGGCUAAUAUCCAGCUAUCCCAACAGUGCUCCUCUUGGCUAUACUAACGGACGAGACUGGACAGUUUGAGGACUGGAGUAUGACCUGCUCAUUCGAGCGUUGCUGGGUAGCUCAGAGACAUCAAGAGAAUCUACGUUUUCUCAAGCAAAAUUUAACUGAGUUACGAGUUGGGGCCUAGAAUCACAGAAGUCCAGCAGCCUGCUAAAUCUUUUUGAAAUGUAAUUUGAAGGCAUUCAAUCAUCCUGAAGUUGCCCUGGGUCACUGUAAUUGUGCUGCAGCACAACUGGCAACUCCCCAGGCCUUUGUGUGAAGCAGCUCCCUAUGUGCAUCUUUUGUGUACUCACUCUGUGCAUUUUCUGUGUACAAAUUUCGAUUAUUGAUUUAUUAAAUAUUUUUGCCGACCACAAA